rnacentral:rRNA from 1 species
UUAGUAACUGCGAGUGAAGUGGGAAAAGCUCAAAUUUGAAAUCUGGCAGUCUCCUUUUUCUAUUUUGGCUGUCCGAGUUGUAAUCUAGAGAAGUGUUUACCUGCACUGGACCAUGUAUAAGUCUCCUGGAAUGGAGCAUCACAGAGGGUGAGAAUCCCGUCUUUGACAUGGACUGCCAGUGUGCUGUGGUGCGCUCUCAAAGAGUCGAGUUGUUUGGGAAUGCAGCUCUAAAUGGGUGGUAAACUCCAUCUAAAGCUAAAUAUUGGCGAGAGACCGAUAGUGAACAAGUACCGUGAGGGAAAGAUGAAAAGGACUUUGGAAAGAGAGUUAAACAGUAUGUGAAAUUGUUGAAAGGGAAACGCUUGAAGUCAAUUAUGUUGGCUAGGGAUCAACUUGGCUAUUUUUGCUGGGUGAAUUUCCUAGUCUGACAGGCCAACAUCAGUUCUGACUGCUGGAAAAGAGCAAAGGGAAUGUGGCACCUUUGGGUGUGUUAUAGCCUUUUGUCAUAUGUGGCAGUUGGGACUGAGGGAUGCAGCAUGCCAUUUGGCUGGGUUUUGACCACAUUUACAUGCUUAGGAUGUUGGCUUUCAAUGGCUUCAAUCGACCCGUCUUGAAACACGGACCAAGGAGUCUAACAU